UACGUAGGGUGCAAGCGUUGUCCGGAAUUAUUGGGCGUAAAGAGCUUGUAGGCGGUUUGUCGCGUCUGCUGUGAAAUUCCAGGGCUUAACCCUGGGCUUGCAGUGGGUACGGGCAGACUAGAGUGUGGUAGGGGAGACUGGAAUUCCUGGUGUAGCGGUGAAAUGCGUAGAUAUCGGGAGGAACACCAGUGGCGAAGGCGGCUUCCUGGCCUGUUCUUGACGCUGAGGCGCGAAAGCUAGGGGAGCAAACG
rnacentral:rRNA from 1 species